rnacentral:rRNA from 1 species
CUCCUGUCAAGAGGGAAGAAACCUAUUAUGAAUAAUACUCAUAGUAAUUGACGGUACCUCUAGAGGAAGCACCGGCUAAUUCAGUGCCAGCAGCCGCGGUAAUACUGAAGGUGCAAGCGUUAAUCGGAAUCACUGGGCGUAAAGCGCUCGUAGGUGGCUUUGUAAGUCAGGUGUGAAAGCCACGGCUCAACCGUGGAAUUGCACUUGAUACUGCAUCGCUAGAGUAUAGGAGGAGGGAAGUGGAAUUUCUGGUGUAGGAGUGAAAUCCGUAGAGAUCAGAAGGAACACCCGUGGCGAAGGCGACUUCCUGGACUAUUACUGACACUGAGGAGCGAAAGCGUGGGGAGCAAACAGGAUUAGAUACCCUGGUAG